UUUAAUUUUGGAUUUGUUUAGAAUUAAGAUUUCCUUGGGAUUUGGUUUAAAACUUGACUAGAGGUUGAUUAAGGUUUGUUUAAGAUUUAUUUAGGAUUUAGGACUUUAUUAGGAUUUCAUUGGAAUUUGACAUACGAUUUGGUUAAGGUUCACUUAGGAUUUUAAUUAAGAUUUGACCUAAAGUUUGGUUAAGAUUUAAUUAAGGUUUCAAUUAGAAUUACAUUAGGAUUUUUAUUUUUAAUAUAUUUUUAGAAUUC
rnacentral:lncRNA from 1 species